UUUUUAUGUUAAAACAUUGAGGUAAUCGAAUCGAACUGUUUACCAUAUCGGUUCAACUGGUUGAAUUCAACUAUAUUUAAGAUGGUUUGCAUUGUACCGACCUGUGGCAUCGAGCAAUCCAGUCACCGAAUGCGGAGGCUUCCUCGACAUCCGGAACUAGCCCAGCGAUGGCUUCAGGCCAUCGAGGUCGGCUGUCAGCAGCAAUGCAUUCCAUGGGAUUCGGAAAAUUGGGCAUCAUUUGAUAUUUGCGACAACCACUUCGAUGAAGACAACCCUCGAUUCCCUUCCGGAUGGUAUCUAGAACCAUCACGAUUUUGCAACAGCUCAGGGGAAUCCUUGUCCGUAAGGUCAUGCCGAUUUUGCCUACAAUUUUUUCAGCAAAAUGAAGUCACAGAUUAUAAGGACUAUAUGGAUUUGCGAUCUUCUGAAUUGUUCGGUUGGUGGUCAAUCGACAAGUUGAUGGCCUCGAGUGAAAUUCUAUCCAAAUUUAUUUGUUUGGAAUGUGCUGUCAAACUGGAUGUACUGCAAUCGGUUUUUUCAUUCUUCGAACACAAUUACAAACGUUUAGAAUAUCUUGACACAUCGCUCAGCUUGAUUAUUCACGAUCAUAGCCUAAAAUCUGAAAUUGGAAAUGGUAUUUCUCGAGGCUCGUUCUCAGAAAAAGAUCGACAGUUAGAGCUGGAAUCCAGUGAAGUGACGAUAAAAGAUGAAAUUCCAGAUGAUGGAACAACCGACUUCGAUCAGGAAACAGAAAUUGUAAGCGAUGUAAUAAUUAACAAACCCGAACCAUCUGUUGAAUCUGCUUCUAGUUUCGAAAACCACGGAGACAAACUUGAAAAUGAACCUACAGCUACUGAAUCGUUCAACUGCUUGCAAUGUGAUAAAUGUUACCCAACAAAACAUAAACUUAACCGGCACAGAUGGCACAAACAUUCAACAUCAAAGCCUCUUCGACAGAUGAUUUAUGAAUGUGAGUUAUGCAAAAUUAAGCAUUUGAAGGUAUCCGACUUAGACAGUCAUAUUAAGCGUGAUCACGGUAGCGAAGAAUAUCCUUAUCUGUCAUGCAAGGAUUGUACGAAAACAUUCUCCUGUCGAAUGCGGCUAGUUCGUCACAGUUCAUGGCAUACAAAUGGAAAAUAUCAGUGCGACAUAUGCCACAAAUUGUUUUUAUUUCGAUACAAAAUGCUGGAUCAUCGUAGGUUGCAUACAAAUGAACGGAACUACGAAUGCGAGAUUUGUCACAAAAAAUACAUAACAAAAUAUUCACUAAAAUAUCAUCAAAAAAUUCAUACCGAUGAGCGAGAUUUCGAAUGCCAAUACUGCGAUAAGAAGUUCAUUAUAAAAAGUCGUCUUGAUUAUCAUACUGCUAUACAUCACUCAGAUCAGUGUUUUGAAUGUGAUAUUUGCAGUAAAUCGUUCAGUGCUAAAAAAAGAUUGCAAGUCCAUCGUCAGACCCAUAUGGAAGCAUUGCCUGAAGAAGAACGUAGUGUCAGCUUCGAAUGCAAUGAAUGUGGAAAAAAAUUUUGCAGAAAGUACCAAUUAACCAAACAUCAAGCUAAUGCUCAUAGCACCGAACGUCUUUUCAUAUGUCAAAUCUGCGGAAAAGAUUUCGCAAAGAACGUCAAUUUACGUUUGCACAUGGCGUUGCAUAAUAACGAACGCAACUUUGAAUGUGAUAUUUGUCACGAAACAUUCAACACAAAAGGCGUGUUAAAAAUCCACCUUGCACGACACUCGGACGAGCGUAAGUUCGGUUGUAAUGUGUGCGGCAAAGCCUUGAAGUCGCAAAGCUCUCUGCGGGUUCACAUCAAGAGACACACGAAUGAACGCAAAUUUGAAUGCGAUAUUUGCGGGAAAAAGUACAAAACAAAAGAAUGUUUGGGAAAUCACCGUCGAAAGUCAUGCAGACCCGUUUCAGCUUUUCAGUUAUAAAAGUCCACAAGAUUGUCGCGUAAGCCUUUCAGCAUUGGAAGUAGAAGAUUUCAAGUGAUUUGAAAAAAAAGUAGAUCUUUGUGUUUAUUACAUUACAUUCAAUACUAGGAAAAGAUUACAAUUAAUUUAUUGGAGAGAAACUGCCUGCGCCAAUAUUCGGUUAUUUUUCGGAUAGCUGAUAUCGAUCUUAAAAUAGGUCGACAUGAAAAAGGUUCAGUAACAUUUACACUACACAGGCUGAAUGAAUCCUUAUGGUCUUGCUAUCGUAAACAUUAAGCAAAAAAGAAAAUAACCGCCCGUUAGACAAUAUACGCAAGAACUCAAAAUCAUGUCGUGCAUUGUCCCCACAUGUGAUAACGGUAUAAUAAACCGUCGAAUGCGCCGUUUUCCUGUGAGUUCAGCGCUAGUCGACCGUUGGUUAGAGGCCAUCAGGGUUGGUUGCCAGUUGGAAAGCUUCGUUCCAUUGAGCUCUUAUGAUGAUUUCUGCUGCUGGGAAAUUUGUGAGGACCAUUUCAAUCAAGGCACCGACAACGAAUUUCAGAACGUUCUCUACGUGGAGCCAACGAUAUUUCGUAACAGCGAAGGAGAAAAUACAACAGUUGCGUCGUGCAGAAUGUGCUUACGAUUUUAUAGUUCAAACUGUAUAACAAGGCUUGAACUAAUUCUGCCAGGUUUAGCAGAUAAUAAUACUAUUCGAACAAUAAUAGCCUUGGAUGGGGAUCUGACUGGUUUUGUUUGCAUGGAAUGCGCAGUUAAAGUUGAAAUAAUCAAAUCUCUUCAAGUGUUCUUUCGUGAUU